rnacentral:rRNA from 1 species
GACGAACGCUGGCGGCGUGCUUAACACAUGCAAGUCGAACGGAAAGGCCCUGCUUUUGUGGGGUGCUCGAGUGGCGAACGGGUGAGUAACACGUGAGUAACCUGCCCUUGACUUUGGGAUAACUUCAGGAAACUGGGGCUAAUACCGGAUAGGAGCUCCUGCUGCAUGGUGGGGGUUGGAAAGUUUCGGCGGUUGGGGAUGGACUCGCGGCUUAUCAGCUUGUUGGUGGGGUAGUGGCUUACCAAGGCUUUGACGGGUAGCCGGCCUGAGAGGGUGACCGGCCACAUUGGGACUGAGAUACGGCCCAGACUCCUACGGGAGGCAGCAGGGGGGAAUAGUGCACAAUGGGCGGAAGCCUGAUGCAGCAACGCCGCGUGCGGGAUGACGGCCUUCGGGUUGUAAACCGCUUUCGCCUGUGACGAAGCGUGAGUGACGGUAAUGGGUAAAGAAGCACCGGCUAACUACGUG